rnacentral:lncRNA from 1 species
UCACUACUAAGCAUUUUCUAGAAAACACGAUCCUAUCCUAAGGUGUGCUUCCCUUAUGUACGGUCACUGCAUGCUGCAUGGGUCAUAGCUAACCAUUGUGCACAUAACCCCUGUUGUUGCCUUCCUUUUGGGCCUCACGCUUCUUGCUUCUUACAGACCCCUUGCUUCCUAUAGCCCCCUUGUUGCCAUUCGUAUCAACACCCCUAAUAAGACUGAUUAACGAAACCUACCAAGAAGAUUUCAUUAGAAAUCAAAAAAGAGAAAGGUCAAUGCACCACCAUGGGAAGACAAAACCAAACCCAUGCAAGCAAAACUAUUUGAAUUUGUAAUUCGGAAACCAAACCCAUGCAAGCAAAACUAUUUGAAUUUGUAAUUCGGACGACCUAUUCUCUUAGAACUAUAAGCAGCUGCCAAAAAAUUAGGAACAAACUACCACCAACAAAAGUCAUUAAAAGAAGAGGCUAUGGAGGCAAGCAUGUCUACACAAGCAUUGCCCUCCCUAAAAAUGUGACCAACAACAAAAUUCAUGCGCCUAACUAAAGUAGUACUGUUAAGCCAUCUGUUUUUUAACUGCCUAGGCACCAAAUAAUUAUUUCUCUGAAAGCUUGAACUACUAUAAUAUAGUCACAUUCCAACCAUAAAUUUCGCCAACCAUUCUUUCCAGCCAAUUCAAUUGCCAAAAUGGCUCCCAUAAUUUUCAGCAAAAAGAAAUUUUUUAAUUCCCAAAUUGGAAGCAAAACGUCCAAGGAAUAAAAAUCCCGCCAGAUCCCGCAAUACCUAGAGAUUUCAUAAUCAACAAUUCAGAAACAGAAGAGUUCAUGACAACAAGGGUGUGAUUACCCGUGAUUCUUACUUUGCCCAUCACCAUUGAUAUGGCUCCAUGGAUAGAGACACUACGGUUUUGAAACCUGUUCUGGUUUCAAUGAACAUACUCACCGAAGCAGCUAUGUCUGUG